UACGUAGGGUGCAAGCGUUGUCCGGAAUUAUUGGGCGUAAAGAGCUCGUAGGCGGCGUGUCGCGUCGGGAGUGAAAGACCGGGGCUUAACCCCGGUUCUGCUUCCGGUACGGGCAUGCUGGAGUGUGGCAGGGGAGACUGGAAGUUCCUGGUGUAGCGGUGGAAUGCGCAGAUAUCAGGAGGAACACCGGUGGCGAAGGCGGGUCUCUGGGCCAUUACUGACGCUGAGGAGCGAAAAGCGUGGGGAGCAAACGGG
rnacentral:rRNA from 1 species